rnacentral:rRNA from 1 species
CAGUCGCCACGGGAAAACGUAGGGGGCAAGCGUUAUCCGGAAUUACUGGGUGUAAAGGGAGCGUAGACGGUUAAACAAGUCUGAAGUGAAAUGCCGGGGCUCAACCCCGGAGCUGCUUUGGGAACUGUAGAACUGGAGUGUCGGAGGGGUAAGCGGAAUUCCCAGUGUAGCGGUGAAAUGCGUAGAUAUUGGGAGGAACACCGGCGGCGAAGGCGGCUUACUGGACGACAACUGACGUUGAGGCUCGAGGGCGUGGGUAGCAAACAGGAUUAGAUACCCCUGUAGUCCCUGUCUCUUAUAC